GAUACCGUGCUGAAUAUACCGGUUCUCGUUAGAUCACCGAAGUCAAGCAUCAUUGGGCGCGGUCAGUACUUGGGUGGGUGACCACCUGGGAACACCGCGUGCCGUU